AGGGUUGUAGUUAAUUAUAACAUUUGAUUUGCACUCAAAAAGUAUUGAAGAUUUUCAAUCUUCCUUG
rnacentral:tRNA from 1 species